CGGUGUGCCUAAUACAUGCAAGUCGUACGCACUGGCCCAACUGAUUGAUGGUGCUUGCACCUGAUUGACGAUGGAUCACCAGUGAGUGGCGGACGGGUGAGUAACACGUAGGUAACCUGCCCCGGAGCGGGGGAUAACAUUUGGAAACAGAUGCUAAUACCGCAUAACAGCAAAAGCCACAUGGCUUUUGCUUGAAAGAUGGCUUUGGCUAUCACUCUGGGAUGGACCUGCGGUGCAUUAGCUAGUUGGUAAGGUAACGGCUUACCAAGGCGAUGAUGCAUAGCCGAGUUGAGAGACUGAUCGGCCACAAUGGAACUGAGACACGGUCCAUACUCCUACGGGAGGCAGCAGUAGGGAAUCUUCCACAAUGGGCGCAAGCCUGAUGGAGCAACACCGCGUGAGUGAAGAAGGGUUUCGGCUCGUAAAGCUCUGUUGUUGGAGAAGAACGUGCGUGAGAGUAACUGUUCACGCAGUGACGGUAUCCAACCAGAAAGUCACGGCUAACUACGUGCCAGCAGCCGCGGUAAUACGUAGGUGGCAAGCGUUAUCCGGAUUUAUUGGGCGUAAAGCGAGCGCAGGCGGUUGCUUAGGUCUGAUGUGAAAGCCUUCGGCUUAACCGAAGAAGUGCAUCGGAAACCGGGCGACUUGAGUGCAGAAGAGGACAGUGGAACUCCAUGUGUAGCGGUGGAAUGCGUAGAUAUAUGGAAGAACACCAGUGGCGAAGGCGGCUGUCUGGUCUGCAACUGACGCUGAGGCUCGAAAGCAUGGGUAGCGAACAGGAUUAGAUACCCUGGUAGUCCAUGCCGUAAACGAUGAGUGCUAGGUGUUGGAGGGUUUCCGCCCUUCAGUGCCGGAGCUAACGCAUUAAGCACUCCGCCUGGGGAGUACGACCGCAAGGUUGAAACUCAAAGGAAUUGACGGGGGCCCGCACAAGCGGUGGAGCAUGUGGUUUAAUUCGAAGCUACGCGAAGAACCUUACCAGGUCUUGACAUCUUGCGCUAACCUUAGAGAUAAGGCGUUCCCUUCGGGGACGCAAUGACAGGUGGUGCAUGGUCGUCGUCAGCUCGUGUCGUGAGAUGUUGGGUUAAGUCCCGCAACGAGCGCAACCCUUGUUACUAGUUGCCAGCAUUAAGUUGGGCACUCUAGUGAGACUGCCGGUGACAAACCGGAGGAAGGUGGGGACGACGUCAGAUCAUCAUGCCCCUUAUGACCUGGGCUACACACGUGCUACAAUGGACGGUACAACGAGUCGCAAGCUCGCGAGAGUAAGCUAAUCUCUUAAAGCCGUUCUCAGUUCGGACUGUAGGCUGCAACUCGCCUACACGAAGUCGGAAUCGCUAGUAAUCGCGGAUCAGCAUGCCGCGGUGAAUACGUUCCCGGGCCUUGUACACACCGCCCGUCACACCAUGGGAGUUUGUAACGCCCAAAGUCGGUGGCCUAACCUUUAUGGA
rnacentral:rRNA from 2 species